rnacentral:piRNA from 1 species
UGUGUUGACUGAAAGGUGGGCCUGUC